rnacentral:rRNA from 1 species
CGAACGGAGUCGGCCCCGCAAGGGACUGACUUAGUGGCGAACGGGUGAGUAACGCGUGAGCAACCUGCCUUUCAGUGGGGGACAACAGUUGGAAACGACUGCUAAUACCGCAUAAUGCAUUUUGACCGCAUGAUCGAGAUGCCAAAGAUUUAUUGCUGAAAGAUGGGCUCGCGUCUGAUUAGAUAGUUGGUGGGGUAACGGCCCACCAAGUCGACGAUCAGUAGCCGGACUGAGAGGUUGAACGGCCACAUUGGGACUGAGAUACGGCCCAGACUCCUACGGGAGGCAGCAGUGGGGAAUAUUGGGCAAUGGGGGAAACCCUGACCCAGCAACGCCGCGUGAAGGAAGAAGGCUUUCGGGUUGUAAACUUCUUUUACCAGGGACGAAGAAAGUGACGGUACCUGGAGAAAAAGCCACGGCUAACUACGUGCCAGCAGCCGCGGUAAUACGUAGGUGGCAAGCGUUGUCCGGAUUUACUGGGUGUAAAGGGCGUGUAGGCGGAGAUGCAAGUCAGAUGUGAAAUCCCCGGGCUUAACCCGGAAACUGCAUUUGAAACUGUAUCCCUUGAGUAUCGGAGAGGCAGGCGGAAUUCCUAGUGUAGCGG